CAGAAUCAUCAACAGCUGAGUCGGGUGAUGUGCUCAGAGUUUGCGUGAGGCCCUCGGGUUCCUCUUCACUUCCGUAUUUGCAGGGUGUAGAAGCACUGGCAACCCAGAAGCAAUGUGCACACUUGGAAUGCAGGGCUGGGUGUCUCGUUCCAGUCUCCUCUGAAGGGAACCCGGGCUUCCCAGAGAACUGUCUGACUCCAGUGCCAGGUCAAGGAAGGAAUGGGCCAUAUUCCUGUCUGGAAGCUGGGCGUCUUGCCCUGUGUGAUGGUCUCGCUACCAGAGAAACCCAGCAGGAUUAGGCAUUCUUUGAAGGAAAAAAACUGACCUGUCACUGGAAUACACAGAAAAGUGUCUCCUCAGAGGAUCCCCUCCAAAGUGGGGAGGCUCUCACCGAACCUUCUUCCAUCCUAGUUCGAGACUGCAGCUCUGCACAGCAGGAAUGGGUCCUUUUAGGAUGACUGUGAACUGAUCAAGAAGUAUCUCCUUUAAUGACUAAAUCAACUUCGGAAAUCCACGGAAUUGAGGAACUACUAGCACCAAAACAGCUUUACAACCCCCCAUCCCCCAAGAAUUUGAAAGAAGAUUGCCGCUGUUUGAAACUAAAGAUGUAUCAAACUUUGACCUCCCUUCAGGAUGAAAAGAAUUAACUGACUCCUUUCUCCCUCCUAAAUGUGGAAAGGCAAUGAAUAAAGACCAGGGGAGAGAAAAUCUUUUUAUUCCCCUACCCUCUCAUCAAUUCCCACAUAAUACCCUUUUGAUUCUACCAUGUGUAGAGUCUUGAAGUAGUAAGUAUGUGAAAAUGGCAUAUGGGCAUCCAUGGUACGUGGUCCGGGCCUUGGUGACAAGCCGUGGCAACCACAACAUUGUCAGACUCAAGGUCAGCAAUCACGAAACUCUUUGCUGACUCUUCAGAGUUUCUGAUUCUAAACUGGGCAAUUCCAUAAAUGAUUUUUGAUUUUCAAAUCUCACUUGUGCAUGAAGAAUAACAUAUGUAAAGUGUCACACAUUUUGUGCCCUGCCAUGACACCAGUAUGAUCUCUUAAUUCCCUAGUAUUUCUGUUAUGAUGAAAAUGAUCACAAAUCCUUCCUCUCUUUGAGAACAUGCACACCAGUGUGAACAUAUUAUGUUCAUUAACUCUACAGUAAGGGGUAAGGCCUUUAGAGUAGAAUGGAAAAAAAAAAUUAAAGUUUGCAAACUCU